CCGCCGCCGCUGCUGGAGUUGUCCCUGCCGCUUUCCCUGCCUGCUGCAGCGGCACAAACGUGACUUCCAACGUCCCGAUUAUUUAUCUUCUCCUCCCGGCCCCUUUCCUCCUCCAAGAUGUAACUACAGCUCUGACACUAAGGACCUGCAGAUCGCUUAGGCGGCUUGAGAAAGAGAAAAGGGGAUAUCAAGGGCGUCGUUUUUUGUGUUUAGGGGGAAAUUUUCCAUUAUAAUGCUUCACUAAAGUGAUUUUUUUUUUUUUUGUUUCCUUCGCAUUCGUCUUUUUUUUUUUUUUUUUUUUUUUUUUUUUUCCUUCCGUCCCCCAUUUCUCGGAUUUAUUGCUAGGAGAAUCACAUUGUGAGGAAAGAAAGUCGGAUUACAAGAUACCACUACAAACAACCCCCUCCCCCCUGGAUUUUUUCGGUAUUUUUUUUAAUUUUUUUUUUUAAUUGUCUCGGCUUUAAUUCAUGAAGCAAUUGUCCCCUUUUGCAAUCAGAAUUUGGAUACCAGAAUGAGCAAAGAAAGACCCAAGAGGAAUAUAAUUCAAAAGAAAUACUUUUAGAUGAAACGCGAGGAGCUCGGGGGGCUGCCGCGAUAAUGUCACGGAACUGCAUUUUCAAGCGGUUUUCUUAAUUCUGUGUUUUUGCAUGCUGAAAUAGCGGUGGUUGUUGGAAGCCCUUUAAGUUGAAACCGAGUGUGUCUGGUUAUGGCGAGCUGGUUUCUCGCAGGACCACAUCCCCUCUCUCCUGUGUGCGAUCCUCGGCUGCUCUGCCGUGCCACAGACACCGGAGCAGCCGGGGAUCGCCUUACGGGCAGCGCGUUCCUCGGGAUUGACUGGAAUAACGAGGAAAAUGGCUCGGUAGUGUUUGAAAAAGAAUUCAUUAUGAUGGCUCGAAAAUUUGGGCUAAUCCAGCGGAGCCUGGGCUGUGUUUCUGCCUCGCUUUAUUCAGCCGCUUAACCAAUCCCUUGUAAUUGUCUAAUCCUUUAAACAUAUAAAUGUGGAUGGGUAGUUG